ACUCAAAUGAAUUGACGGGGACCCGCACAAGCGGUGGAGCAUGUGGUUUAAUUCGAUGCAACGCGAAGAACCUUACCUGGUCUUGACAUGUCUGGAAUCCCGAAGAGAUUUGGGAGUGCCGCAAGGAACCAGAACACAGGUGCUGCAUGGCUGUCGUCAGCUCGUGUCGUGAGAUGUUGGGUUAAGUCCCGCAACGAGCGCAACCCUUGUCCUUAGUUGCCAUCAUUAAGUUGGGAACUCUAAGGAGACCGCCGGUGACAAACCGGAGGAAGGUGGGGAUGACGUCAAGUCAUCAUGGCCUUUAUGACCAGGGCUACACACGUGCUACAAUGGCAGGUACAGAGGGAAGCCAACCCGCGAGGGGGAGCUAAUCCCAGAAAGCCUGUCUUAGUCCGGAUUGGAGUCUGCAACUCGACUCCAUGAAGUUGGAAUCGCUAGUAAUCGCAGAUCAGCAUUGCUGCGGUGAAUACGUUCCCGGGUCUUGUACACACCGCCCGU
rnacentral:rRNA from 1 species